UACAGAGGGUGCAAGCGUUAAUCGGAAUUACUGGGCGUAAAGCGUGCGCAGGCGGUUUUGUAAGCCAGAUGUGAAAUCCCCGGGCUUAACCUGGGAAUGGCAUUUGGGACUGCAAGGCUUGAGUGCGGCAGAGGAGACUGGAAUUCCUGGUGUAGCAGUGAAAUGCGUAGAUAUCAGGAGGAACACCGAUGGCGAAGGCAGGUCUCUGGGCUGACACUGACGCUCAUGCACGAAAGCGUGGG
rnacentral:rRNA from 1 species